rnacentral:rRNA from 1 species
AUUGAACGCUGGCGGCAGGCCUAACACAUGCAAGUCGAGCGGAUGAAGGGAGCUUGCUCCUGGAUUCAGCGGCGGACGGGUGAGUAAUGCCCAGGAAUCUGCCUGGUAGUGGGGGAUAACGUCCGGAAACGGGCGCUAAUACCGCAUACGUCCUGAGGGAGAAAGUGGGGGAUCUUCGGACCUCACGCUAUCAGAUGAGCCUAGGUCGGAUUAGCUAGUUGGUGGGGUAAAGGCCUACCAAGGCGACGAUCCGUAACUGGUCUGAGAGGAUGAUCAGUCACACUGGAACUGAGACACGGUCCAGACUCCUACGGGAGGCAGCAGUGGGGAAUAUUGGACAAUGGGCGAAAGCCUGAUCCAGCCAUGCCGCGUGUGUGAAGAAGGUCUUCGGAUUGUAAAGCACUUUAAGUUGGGAGGAAGGGCAGUAAGUUAAUACCUUGCCGUUUUGACGUUACCAACAGAAUAAGCACCGGCUAACUUCGUG